rfam:Pteropus alecto contig170068, whole genome shotgun sequence.
GGUUCCAUAGUGUAGUGGUUAGCACGUCUGCUUUACACACAGAAGGUCCAGGGUUUGCACCCCAGUAGAGCCA